rnacentral:rRNA from 1 species
UGGGGAAUAUUGCACAAUGGGCGCAAGCCUGAUGCAGCCAUGCCGCGUGUGUGAAGAAGGCCUUCGGGUUGUAAAGCACUUUCAGCGGGGAGGAAGGCGAUAAGGUUAAUAACCUUGUCGAUUGACGUUACCCGCAGAAGAAGCACCGGCUAACUCCGUGCCAGCAGCCGCGGUAAUACGGAGGGUGCAAGCGUUAAUCGGAAUUACUGGGCGUAAAGCGCACGCAGGCGGUCUGUCAAGUCGGAUGUGAAAUCCCCGGGCUCAACCUGGGAACUGCAUUCGAAACUGGCAGGCUAGAGUCUUGUAGAGGGGGGUAGAAUUCCAGGUGUAGCGGUGAAAUGCGUAGAGAUCUGGAGGAAUACCGGUGGCGAAGGCGGCCCCCUGGACAAAGACUGACGCUCAGGUGCGAAAGCGUGGGGGGCAAACCGG